GACGAACGCUGGCGGCGUGCUUAACACAUGCAAGUCGAGCGGUAAGGCCCUUUCGGGGGUACACGAGCGGCGAACGGGUGAGUAACACGUGGGUGACCUGCCCUCAGCUCUGGGAUAAGCCUGGGAAACCGGGUCUAAUACUGGAUAUGACUCCAUGACGCAUGUUGUGGGGUGGAAAGCCUUGUGCGGCUGAGGAUGGGCCCGCGGCCUAUCAGCUUGUUGGUGGGGNGAUGGUCUACCAAGGCGACGACGGGUAGCCGGCCUGAGAGGGCGACCGGCCACACUGGGACUGAGACACGGCCCAGACUCCUACGGGAGGCAGCAGUGGGGAAUCUUGCGCAAUGGGCGAAAGCCUGACGCAGCGACGCCGCGUGAGGGAUGACGGCCU
rnacentral:rRNA from 1 species